AUUGAACGCUGGCGGCAGGCCUAACACAUGCAAGUCGAGCGGUAGCACAGAGAGCUUGCUCUCGGGUGACGAGCGGCGGACGGGUGAGUAAUGUCUGGGAAACUGCCUGAUGGAGGGGGAUAACUACUGGAAACGGUAGCUAAUACCGCAUAACGUCGCAAGACCAAAGUGGGGGACCUUCGGGCCUCAUGCCAUCAGAUGUGCCCAGAUGGGAUUAGCUAGUAGGUGGGGUAAUGGCUCACCUAGGCGACGAUCCCUAGCUGGUCUGAGAGGAUGACCAGCCACACUGGAACUGAGACACGGUCCAGACUCCUACGGGAGGCAGCAGUGGGGAAUAUUGCACAAUGGGCGCAAGCCUGAUGCAGCCAUGCCGCGUGUGUGAAGAAGGCCUUCGGGUUGUAAAGCACUUUCAGCGGGGAGGAAGGCGAUAAGGUUAAUAACCUUGUCGAUUGACGUUACCCGCAGAAGAAGCACCGGCUAACUCCGUGCCAGCAGCCGCGGUAAUACGGAGGGUGCAAGCGUUAAUCGGAAUUACUGGGCGUAAAGCGCACGCAGGCGGUCUGUCAAGUCGGAUGUGAAAUCCCCGGGCUCAACCUGGGAACUGCAUUCGAAACUGGCAGGCUAGAGUCUUGUAGAGGGGGGUAGAAUUCCAGGUGUAGCGGUGAAAUGCGUAGAGAUCUGGAGGAAUACCGGUGGCGAAGGCGGCCCCCUGGACAAAGACUGACGCUCAGGUGCGAAAGCGUGGGGAGCAAACAGGAUUAGAUACCCUGGUAGUCCACGCCGUAAACGAUGUCGAUUUGGAGGUUGUGCCCUUGAGGCGUGGCUUCCGGAGCUAACGCGUUAAAUCGACCGCCUGGGGAGUACGGCCGCAAGGUUAAAACUCAAAUGAAUUGACGGGGGCCCGCACAAGCGGUGGAGCAUGUGGUUUAAUUCGAUGCAACGCGAAGAACCUUACCUGGUCUUGACAUCCACAGAACUUUCCAGAGAUGGAUUGGUGCCUUCGGGAACUGUGAGACAGGUGCUGCAUGGCUGUCGUCAGCUCGUGUUGUGAAAUGUUGGGUUAAGUCCCGCAACGAGCGCAACCCUUAUCCUUUGUUGCCAGCGGUUAGGCCGGGAACUCAAAGGAGACUGCCAGUGAUAAACUGGAGGAAGGUGGGGAUGACGUCAAGUCAUCAUGGCCCUUACGACCAGGGCUACACACGUGCUACAAUGGCAUAUACAAAGAGAAGCGACCUCGCGAGAGCAAGCGGACCUCAUAAAGUAUGUCGUAGUCCGGAUUGGAGUCUGCAACUCGACUCCAUGAAGUCGGAAUCGCUAGUAAUCGUAGAUCAGAAUGCUACGGUGAAUACGUUCCCGGGCCUUGUACACACCGCCCGUCACACCAUGGGAGUGGGUUGCAAAAGAAGUAGGUAGCUUAACCUUCGGGAGGGCGCUUACCACUUUGUGAUUCAUGACUGGGGUGA
rnacentral:rRNA from 1 species